rnacentral:rRNA from 1 species
UACGUAGGGUGCAGGCGUUAAUCGGAAUUACUGGGCGUAAAGCGUGCGCAGGCGGUUUCUUAAGUCAGAUGUGAAAGCCCCGGGCUUAACCUGGGAACUGCGUUUGAAACUGGGAGACUUGAGUGUGGCAGAGGGGGGUGGAAUUCCCAGUGUAGCGGUGAAAUGCGUAGAUAUUGGGAGGAACACCAGUGGCGAAGGCGGCUCACUGGACCGGUACUGACGCUGAUGCGCGAAAGCGUGGGGAGCAAACAGG